UGUGGCUGUGAUGACACACUUGCCCUCACUGAGGUCAGGCCUGACUGAGACUCUUGUACUCUCCUGAGCCACA
ensembl:snoRNA